rnacentral:rRNA from 1 species
GCUUUAGAUCGCUAGAGAUAGCUUAGUGCCUUCGGGAACUCUGAGACAGGUGCUGCAUGGCUGUCGUCAGCUCGUGUUGUGAAAUGUUGGGUUAAGUCCCGCAACGAGCGCAACCCUUAUCCUUUGUUGCCAGCACGUAAUGGUGGGAACUCAAAGGAGACUGCCGGUGAUAAACCGGAGGAAGGUGGGGAUGACGUCAAGUCAUCAUGGCCCUUACGAGUAGGGCUACACACGUGCUACAAUGGCAUAUACAAAGAGAAGCGAACUCGCGAGAGCAAGCGGACCUCAUAAAGUAUGUCGUAGUCCGGAUUGGAGUCUGCAACUCGACUCCAUGAAGUCGGAAUCGCUAGUAAUCGUAGAUCAGAAUGCUACGGUGAAUACGUUCCCGGGUCUUGACACACCGA